AUGGCCUGGACUGUGCUUCUCCUCACCCUCCUCACUCAGGCCACAGGUUCCUGGGCCCAGUCUGCUCUGACUCAGCCUUCCUCAAUGUCUGGGGCUCUGGGACAGUCAGUCACCAUCUCCUGUGCUGGGACCAGCAACGACAUUGGGGGUUAUAACCUUGUCUCCUGGUACCAGCAGCUCCCUGGCAAGACACCCAAGCUCCUGAUUUAUAGUGUCAGUUCCCGGCCCUCAGGGAUCCCUGAUCGCUUCUCUGGCUCCAAGUCAGGCAACACGGCCACCUUGACCAUCUCUGGUCUCAAGCCUGAGGAUGAGGCUGAGUAUUACUGUGGCUCAUACAGGAGUGGUGGUACUUACCACAGUGGUGCAAGUUCAUGGGGAAGUGAGACCAGAACCAGCUCUGUGCUCACAGAAUACCUUCUGUUCUGA